AUUGAACGCUGGCGGCAGGCCUAACACAUGCAAGUCGAGCGGAUGAAGGGAGCUUGCGCCUGGAUUCAGCGGCGGACGGGUGAGUAAUGCCUAGGAAUCUGCCUGGUAGUGGGGGAUAACGUCCGGAAACGGGCGCUAAUACCGCAUACGUCCUGAGGGAGAAAGUGGGGGAUCUUAGGACCUCACGCUAUCAGAUGAGCCUAGGUCGGAUUAGCUAGUUGGUGGGGUAAAGGACUACCAAGGCGACGAUCCGUAACUGGUCUGAGAGGAUGAUCAGUCACUCUGGAACUGCGACACGGUCCAUACUCCUACGGGAGGCAGCAGCGGCGAAUAUUGGACAACGGUCGAAAGCCUGAUCCAGCCAUGCCGCGUGUGUGAAGAAGGUCUUCGGAUUGUAAAGCACUUUAAGUUGGGAGGAAGGGCAGUAAGUUAAUACCUUGCUGUUUUGACGUUACCAACAGAAUAAGCACCGGCUAACUUCGUG
rnacentral:rRNA from 1 species